AUUCUCUUGUCCGUUGGAUCUCUCUUAUUCGGAGAUUGAAUAUGAUCGUUCGAUCACGCCUGAAGAGAAAAUGCAUCUAGAUCGUUCGCGCAUGCGAGAUGCGAUCUGGGCUAUCGGAUCGCCUAGGCACGCGGAUCGCCUGCGUGGCUCCUACGUGGAGCCGGUGUCAGCGUGUCCGCCACGCAACGCGUUCUGACUCGCGGUGCUGU
rnacentral:lncRNA from 1 species